AAAAGACGGCAGAGAGUACGAAUCGCUGGAUUACUUAGUAGGAAUAUUCAUGAUAAUAAGUACCGAAAGAUAUGGUACACAUUGGGAACUGCAGAUUCGGCACAGCGAAGCUAGCACGGUCAACCUGUACAGUGUGGAAACCUGGGUACCAAUCACAUCCGCUCAGUGCGUUAGUUCAUUAAAAACAGUACUUUCACUACGCUUGCAUUUUCCAUUCACGUAUGGUCUUAACGAAUAGCGCAUAAUUAAAAACCAGAGAGCAAAACUACUGUGAUCAGAAGCAUGCUCUAGCUGUGAGCUAUUAUAUAUAAGAAUAAACAUCAAGAAUAUAUUACCAAGAAUGAACACGCAGUGGUGGCAGCUUUCCAAAUAAGCUGCUGUCCAGUGAAUAUUACUAGCGCAGAAUUAAUUGUCAGUUCAUACACAAUACACUGCCGGUACUGAGACCAUUGCAAUGUGUAUCAGCAAACUGUUACAAAACGAUGCGCUCUUUUAGCUAAGACUUUGCUUCGUGUAAACGUGUUAAACCCAUCCAUAAAAUCAUAAAUAAAAAAGGGAAGUCAUGACAGACUGCAACAGUCAGCCCACUAGCGCAGCUAAUUAUAAACUACAUUAUGUAUUGCACAAGUAAAACGUACUGUUUACUGCUUUUUCACAGCUCCGCCUUACUCUCCAGCAAGGUGUGCAAAUCAUAUAUUUUCCAGAUUACCGUUUGGGUGUAUUUGUGUUUUUAAUUUACGAAUUAUAUUGGAGAAUUAUACCACCAAUCGCAAUGCGAAAUUGUGCGCCCCUGCCUCGUUCGCGCUGGAUUAUGGGAAUAGUAGUCCAGAAGUACCUGUCGCCUCGUCAAUGAAAAAAGAAACCGAAGUUUAAAGAACGCCAUGUCCCAGAAGGCUUUGCACCAGCUGCAGUCGCUGCGCAGCCACCACCUGGUGGCCGUUUUGAAAACUGUCAGUGAUUAUCAGAGACUAUCGCUGUAAUAAAAUAGCAGCUGGAGAUACAGGGUACUUUUAUAAUGCAAAACGAGAACUGAAGGAGCAACAACGAGAUGACAAAAGACUACGAAAGUAGGUUGAUCGGGCUGAGCUGUUGACACUAAUAGCACAAGAUGAAGGGAGCUGCAAAGGGAGGCCUGGCCAAGCCUGGGCUCCAGUGCCCUGAGAAAGGGAGGCCAGUCCCCGCCGCCAUUGGCGGGAUGAAGACCUCCAAAUCAUCCAGCUCACUCUCUUCAGAGGUGCGGCUCAGUAAGCUGAAGAGAGCCAGCAGUGAUGACACGUUGGCUAAGCCAGGGUUGGGUUCGGCACUGGCUACCUCCAGGAUGAGGAAGACCACCACCACCGGGGCGAUCUCCGAGCUUGCUGAGGCCAGACCACGGGGUAUCCCAGGUAAAGAGCUGCAAAGAGGAGCAACUGACUGCCAUUCAGCACAUGUUUGUUAUUUUGCAGUGUGACACAUAUAUUCAAAAAGGGGGGGAAAAAAAAUCAAACUUAAUUGCAAGUAGAAGCAGUUAAUUUAUUGUAGUUUGUUCUGAGUAGUUUCUAUACCAUUAACCCUUUAAUGCCCAUUGGUGUGUUACACAUGAGCCACUACUUGUGUUUGCACUCCAGCCUCAAAAUCUGCAAUAUAUUGUGCCAACUAGAUCUGUCAUCAGGAUGUACAGAGGCUAUAAUAACUUUUCUCAAUACAAAAAUACAGGAGUUAAAAUUAUAUAAAU